ACUCAAAUGAAUAGACGGGACCCCGCACAAGCGGUGGAUUAUGUUGUUUAAUUCGACGCAACGCGAAGAACCUUACCAGGCCUUGACAUACUCAGCAAAGCCCUAGAGAUAGGGUGGAGGUUAUCUGGGAUACAGGUGGUGCAUGGUUGUCGUCAGCUCGUGUCGUGAGAUGUUGGGUUAAGUCCCGCAACGAGCGCAACCCUUGUCUUUAGUUACCAUCAUUCAGUUGGGGACUCUAGAGAGACUGCCGGUGAUAAACCGGAGGAAGGUGGGGAUGACGUCAAAUCAUCAUGCCCCUUAUGGCCUGGGCUACAAACGUAAUACAAUGGCGUAUACAAAGGGAUGCGAAAGGGCGACCUGGAGCAAAACUCAUAAAGUACGUCUCAGUUCAGAUUGGAGUCUGCAACUCGACUCCAUGAAGGCGGAAUCGCUAGUAAUCGCGGAUCAGCAUGCCGCGGUGAAUACGUUCUCGGGGUUUGCACACACCGCCCGU
rnacentral:rRNA from 1 species